AGUGAACGCUGGCGGUAGGCCUAACACAUGCAAGUCGAACGGCAGCACAGUAAGAGCUUGCUCUUACGGGUGGCGAGUGGCGGACGGGUGAGGAAUACAUCGGAAUCUACUUUUUCGUGGGGGAUAACGUAGGGAAACUUACGCUAAUACCGCAUACGACCUACGGGUGAAAGCAGGGGAUCUUCGGACCUUGCGCGAUUGAAUGAGCCGAUGUUGGAUUAGCUAGUUGGCGGGGUAAAGGCCCACCAAGGCGACGAUCCGUAGCUGGUCUGAGAGGAUGAUCAGCCACACUGGAACUGAGACACGGUCCAGACUCCUACGGGAGGCAGCAGAGGGGAAUAUUGGACAAUGGGCGCAAGCCUGAUCCAGCCAUACCGCGUGGGUGAAGAAGGCCUUCGGGUUGUAAAGCCCUUUUGUUGGGAAAGAAAAGCAGCAGGUUAAUACCCCGCUGUUCUGACGGUACCCAAAGAAUAAGCACCGGCUAACUUCGUG
rnacentral:rRNA from 1 species